rnacentral:rRNA from 1 species
UACGUAGGGGGCAAGCGUUGUCUGGAAUCAUUGGGCGUAAAGAGCGUGUAGGCGGCUCGAUAAGUCUGCUGUGAAAGUCCAGGGCUCAACCCUGGAAGGCCGGUGGAAACUGUCGGGCUAGAGUCCGGAAGAGGCGAGUGGAAUUCCCGGUGUAGCGGUGAAAUGCGCAGAUAUCGGGAGGAACACCAAUGGCGAAGGCAGCUCGCUGGGACGGUACUGACGCUGAGACGCGAAAGCGUGGGGAGCAAACAGG